GACGAACGCUGGCGGCGUGCUUAACACAUGCAAGUCGAACGGAAAGGCCCUGCUUUUGUGGGGUGCUCGAGUGGCGAACGGGUGAGUAACACGUGAGUAACCUGCCCUUGACUUUGGGAUAACUUCAGGAAACUGGGGCUAAUACCGGAUAGGAGCUCCUGCUGCAUGGUGGGGGUUGGAAAGUUUCGGCGGUUGUGGAUGGACUAGCGGCUUAUCCGCUUGUUGGUGGGGUAGUGGCGUACCAAGGCUUUGAAGGGUAGCCGGCAUGAGAGGGGGAACGGCCACAUGGGGACUGAGGUACGGCCCAGACGCCUACGUUAGGCAGCAGUGGGAAACAUUGCACAAUGGGCGGGAGCCUGAUGCGGCAGCGCCGCGAGCGUAAAGACGUCCUUCUGGGGGUAAACCGCUUUCGCCUGUGACGAAGCGGGAGUGACGGUAAUGGGUAAAGAAGCACCGGCUAACUACGUG
rnacentral:rRNA from 1 species